GGACCAUAUAUAAUAGUAGCAAUGCAUGACAAUGCUACCUAUUUGCUUUGUAGAUUGGAUGGUAUGAUGUUGAAGAUACUUGUGGGUGAGAAGUGAAUUAAGGCAUUCAAAAGAAGAGAUGGCAUAUUUAUUGCAAUCAAUCCUUUAGAUUUUGAAACAUUAGAUUUGGACUAAAUAGAAGAUGCACAAAAAGAUGGAGAUGAUGAAGAAGACAAGCAUGGUUAAAUUGGCACAUAUUAGAGGAUGUGUAGGUUUGGGAGGAGGGGAUAGAUGCUAUAUUAUAAUUA
rnacentral:lncRNA from 1 species